rnacentral:rRNA from 1 species
AGUCGAGGGGUAUAGUUCUUCGGAGCUAGAGACCGGCGCACGGGUGCGUAACGCGUAUGCAAUCUGCCUUUCACAGAGGGAUAGCCCAGAGAAAUUUGGAUUAAUACCUCAUAGUAUUAUGGAAGGGCAUCCUUUUAUAAUUAAAGUCACAACGGUGAAAGAUGAGCAUGCGUCCCAUUAGCUAGUUGGUAAGGUAACGGCUUACCAAGGCAACGAUGGGUAGGGGUCCUGAGAGGGAGAUCCCCCACACUGGUACUGAGACACGGACCAGACUCCUACGGGAGGCAGCAGUGAGGAAUAUUGGUCAAUGGGCGCAAGCCUGAACCAGCCAUGCCGCGUGCAGGAUGACGGUCCUAUGGAUUGUAAACUGCUUUUGUACGAGAAGAAACACUGAUUCGUGAAUCAGCUUGACGGUAUCGUAAGAAUAAGGAUCGGCUAACUCCGUGCCAGCAGCCGCGGUAAUACGGAGGAUCCAAGCGUUAUCCGGAAUCAUUGGGUUUAAAGGGUCCGUAGGCGGUUUAGUAAGUCAGUGGUGAAAGCCCAUCGCUCAACGGUGGAACGGCCAUUGAUACUGCUGAACUUGAAUUAUUAGGAAGUAACUAGAAUAUGUAGUGUAGCGGUGAAAUGCUUAGAUAUUACAUGGAAUACCAAUUGCGAAGGCAGGUUACUACUAAUGGAUUGACGCUGAUGGACGAAAGCGUGGGGAGCGAACAGGAUUAGAUACCCUGGUAGUCCACGCCGUAAACGAUGGAUACUA